GGCACACGCCUCUUUCUUCUUCCUUUCUCACGUAAUAUUUUCUGGAAAAACAUAGAGGAGCAACAGCAACAUCAACUUCCCGGCGGAAAUUUCACGGUGGCCAUGGGAGAAGCAAUAACGAAAAUCCGAGUAAACACUCAAACAAUCUCUCUCGGUUCUCUCUCGUGAUUCUUCUCCGUAAACAACAAAUCCCUCACUCACGGUUUCCUUCUACCGCGGCCAUGGGAGGAGCUUGAAGAAGCUCACACAAAAUAUGAUGAAACUACAAGGAUAAACUCAACUCUACAACAAAUUUUGACUUGAUUUUAACAGACUCAUGAAUAGGGGCGAAAAUCUGGGUACAGCAACAAAUAUCAGAGAGGUUGAGAGUGAAGGCAGGAUCGACUUACCUACGGCGAGGAGAAUUUCGCCGGUUUAAUUGUUGUGUGUUGCGGUUAUGCUUUGAUUUUGCUGAAUUUUUCUGCUGUUGCUUCGGAGUUGUUGAAGAUGAUGCGUGAAUGAUGUGUAAGCACAGGGCUGCAACCAGAGGAUCUAUUUUGAUGAAGAUGAUGCAACAAAACCUUUUUUUGGAUAUUAGGGAGACUUGAAGAUGCAACUUCAAGUUGUUGCUCUCCACUAAGGUAUGAACUACUUCUUCACCCCUUUUCCAACUAUGGAACUAAGAAACUUUGAAAAUUAUGAGAGAAAAGGGAGGAGUGAAAAAAGCAAGUAGCUAAGGUUGCUUUGGUGUGAUUUGCAAUGAAGAGAACACCUCUAUUUAUAGGAAAAGCUUAGGAUGUGUUUGGCAUAAAAAUUAACUUGAUUGGCAAGAUUGUAAUCAUUGAGAAAAUAAGAAUAAGAAUAAGAAUAUUCUCCAUGUCAUUAUGCAAAGAUAUUUCUUAUGAUAUGAAUCAUGCAAGUGGAAGAAAAAUCUCUCUUUGAUUCCUUUUUGUCUUGAAUUAUCUCUUCUUUUUGAAUUAUUUCUUUUAUUGGACUUUUUGCUAAUCUCACCCCUUUUUGUUUCUUUUUUUUUUUCAUGUGACAUGAGUAUUCUUUGAAGAAAGAAUGAAGAAACUUGAAUUCCAAGAAUGGAGAUUUGAAGAUUGAAGAAAGUCUUCAAGAAUGUCUUUGUAGUUUUUCUCUUUUUUCUUGUAAUUUCCAAUUCAUUCCAACUUUAAAAUUGUAUGAACUUGUAUUCUUGAAAAUGAAUAGAAUUUUGUAA